rnacentral:rRNA from 1 species
UACAGAGGGGGCGAGCGUUGUCCGGAAUUAUUGGGCGUAAAGGGCUCGUAGGCGGUUUGUCGCGUCGGGAGUGAAAACACGGGGCUUAACCCCGUGCCUGCUUCCGAUACGGGCAGACUAGAGGUAUGCAGGGGAGAACGGAAUUCCUGGUGUAGCGGUGAAAUGCGCAGAUAUCAGGAGGAACACCGGUGGCGAAGGCGGGUCUCUGGGCCGAUACUGACGCUGAGGAGCGAAAGCGUGGGGAGCGAACAGG